CUGGAAGACGGUGACUGAUUCAAAGAUUUGAAAUCAGGUAGAGAAUCUGGUUUGAUCUUUAAAUCAAAUAGAUCACAUGUAGAAGCACACAAAUCCAAUGUAGAAGCAUUUUCUUCAAGUAUUUCAUCAUAAGGAGUUUUAUUAGCUUGGUUCAAAAUGAUUUUAUUUAAAUCUUUCAGAAACUCCUUUUCUAAUUGUGUUUCUGAAGGGUCAGGUGUUGAAGGUUCCUUA
rnacentral:lncRNA from 1 species